GGCGAACGCUGGCGGCGUGCUUAACACAUGCAAGUCGAACGGUAAGGCCCUUCGGGGUACACGAGUGGCGAACGGGUGAGUAACACGUGGGUGAUCUGCCCUGCACUUUGGGAUAAGCCUGGGCAACUGGGUCUAAUACCGGAUAGGACCAUGCGCGUCACGGCGUGUGGUGGAAAGCUUUUGCGGUGUGGGAUGGGCCCGCGGCCUAUCAGCUUGGUGGUGGGGUAAUGGCCUACCAAGGCGACGACGGGUAGCCGGCCUGAGAGGGUGACCGGCCACACUGGGACUGAGAUACGGCCCAGACUCCUACGGGAGGCAGCAGUGGGGAAUAUUGCACAAUGGGCGCAAGCCUGAUGCAGCGACGCCGCGUGAGGGAUGACGGCCUUCGGGUUGUAAACCUCUUUCAGUAGGGACGAAGCGCAAGUGACGGUACCUACAGAAGAAGGACCGGCCAACUACGUGCCAGCCGCCGCAGUAA
rnacentral:rRNA from 1 species